AUGCUAGCAGUAGCCUUUAGAUGAUAGGCUGGUUGGCAUUGGAGUACACGAGACAAGAACGAAGAAGAGGAGCAUCCAAAGCUCAUGGCAACUAAAACCGUCAAGAAGAUCACUGGUUCGCUUGGAUUUAAGUCGUAAUGGAUUCUAUUGCUGUUAUAGUGUUUUUAUCUCUAUAAAUUACAAAAGUUGUAGCAGUCCAAAUAGUUAUCUUUAAUCCAAAGCGAAUAACACAUUUCAUAGUGAUAAAUGCAGGAGGUUGCAAUUACAGAGAUGGCUGAAUUGGAUAGCGGUAGCGGACUUCUCAAUGUUUCUACGAGUGAUGUUAUCAUCUGACCGGUUAAAUUAAUUAGUGUAGUUAAGGGGUAGAGGCGACCGACUUGGGGGUGUAACUCUUCUUGGCAUAUACUGUACUGUAUGUCAGUAUGUGUCACGAUUAUGUUCACUGUGGUUUUGUUCCAUAUAAGAUGUAGGCACUAGUACAUUUCUGUCGUUAGGAAAAAAAAAGGGAGCCCAAAACCCAUGUGAUGUUGACGGUGCACCCAAGUGCCCCUUUAAUGCAGAUCUCAUAGUCUAAAUUUUGAUCACCUCUGUCUAGGCAGUUUGGGAUAUGCUCUGUUUCAGGAUCCUUUUGCCUCAACGUUAGUCAUCUUGCAAUUGCAAAGCACUUAUUCUGCCCUUGCUAUCCUCAAGAAUCAAGAUUAUUGGCUACGAUCUACCAAAUAUUGACUGCAAGACACUUCUCUAUUCUCUUUCAAAAAAAAGGCUCCAACAACCAGAUGGAAGCUUCAUGCCUACUCAUAUUGGAUAAGUAGUGUAGAGACAAGUCACUAAUGGAGGGUGUUUCAAGCGAAAAGAAACAAGCCCAGUGAUACCUAUUACCUGCUAUGUUUUUUUUUGGGUUGGAGCUGUCUUGAAAAUCUUGGGUGCUAGACACCUGUAAUUGGCCUCAAAUAUCUUACACCAGCUUAAUGCCUUAAUCA